rnacentral:rRNA from 1 species
CCUACGGGUGGCAGCAGUGGGGAAUAUUGCACAAUGGGGGAAACCCUGAUGCAGCGACGCCGCGUGAGUGAAGAAGUAUCUCGGUACGUAAAGCUCUAUCAGCAGGGAAGAAAAUGACGGUACCUGACUAAGAAGCCCCGGCUAACUACGUGCCAGCAGCCGCGGUAAUACGUAGGGGGCAAGCGUUAUCCGGAUUUACUGGGUGUAAAGGGAGCGUAGACGGCAGGGCAAGUCUGGAGUGAAAUGCCGGGGCCAAACCCCGGGACUGCAUUGGAAACUGUGCAGCUGGAGGGCAGGAGAGGUAAGCGGAAUUCAUGGGGUAGCGGUGAAAUGCGUAGAUAUGAGGAGGAACACCGGUGGCGAAGGCGGCUAACUGGACGGUAACUGACGUUGAGGCUCGAAGGCGUGGGGAGCAAAAAGGAUUAGAUACCCUUGUAGUC